rnacentral:rRNA from 1 species
CCUACGGGCGGCAGCAGUGGGGAAUAUUGGACAAUGGGGGGAACCCUGAUCCAGCCAUGCCGCGUGUGUGAAGAAGGCCCUCGGGUUGUAAAGCACUUUCAGUGAGGAAGAACGCCUGGUGGUUAAUACCCAUCAGGAAAGACAUCACUCACAGAAGAAGCACCGGCUAACUCCGUGCCAGCAGCCGCGGUAAUACGGAGGGUGCGAGCGUUAAUCGGAAUUACUGGGCGUAAAGCGCGCGUAGGUGGCUUGAUAAGCCGGUUGUGAAAGCCCCGGGCUCAACCUGGGAACGGCAUCCGGAACUGUCAAGCUAGAGUGCAGGAGAGGAAGGUAGAAUUCCCGGUGUAGCGGUGAAAUGCGUAGAGAUCGGGAGGAAUAACAGUGGCGAAGGCGGCCUUCUGGACUGACACUGCCACUGAGGUGCGAAAGCGUGGGUAGCAAACAGGAUUAGAUACCCUAGUAGUC